UUAAGUGAUCCACCUGGGGAGUACGAUCGCAAGGUUGAACUCAAAGGAAUUGACGGGGGCCCGCACAAGCGGAGGAGCAUGUGGUUUAAUUCGAUGAUACGCGAGGAACCUUACCCGGGCUUAAAUGUAGCGUGCAUUCCCGUGAAAACGGGAUUUCCUUCGGGACCCGCUACAAGGUGCUGCAUGGUUGUCGUCAGCUCGUGCCGUGAGGUGUCGGGUUAAGUCCCAUAACGAGCGCAACCCCUAUCUUUAGUUGCCACCAGGUAAUGCUGGGGACUCUAAAGAAACUGCCCGCGCAAGCGGUGAGGAAGGUGGGGAUAACGUCAAAUCAGCACGGCCCUUAUGUCCGGGGCUACACACGUGCUACAAUGGCCGGUACAGUGGGCAGCUCAUGCGCGAGCAUUUGCUAAUCUCUAAAACCGGUCUCAGUACGGAUCGGAGUCUGCAACCCGACUCCGUGAAGCUGGAUUCGCUAGUAAUCGCACAUCAGCCAUGGUGCGGUGAAUACGUUCCCGGGCCUUGUACACACC
rnacentral:rRNA from 1 species